UCCCUGUAGCGCAAUGGGUAGCGCGUUGGACUUCUAAUCCAAAGAUUGUGGGUCGUGGAAAUCCCAUUUAGGAGAA